rnacentral:rRNA from 1 species
AUUGAACGCUGGCGGCAGGCUUAACACAUGCAAGUCGAACGAGUGGCGGACGGGUGAGUAAUGCUUGGGAAUCUAGCUUAUGGAGGGGGAUAACUACUGGAAACUGUAGCUAAUACCGCGUACCCUCGGUUUUGCCCAAGUGGGUUUCGGUAGUUGUUGAGGUAAAGGCUCACCAAGGCGACGAUCUCUAGCUGUUCUGAGAGGAUGACCAGCCACACUGGAACGGGGAAACGGCCCAGACUCCUACGGGAGGCAGCAGUGGGGAAUAUUGCACAAUGGGGGCAACGCUGACGCAGCCAUGCCGCGUGGAUGAAGAAGGCCUUCGGGUUGUAAAGUACUGUCGGUGGGGAGGCGGUAACGGAAGAAGAAGCACCGGCUAACUCCGUGCCAGCAGCCGCGGUAAUUG